AGAGAUAUGUAAUUAGUCAAUUUUAUAAUAAGAGAAAAAUUUUAUUUAUAUGUUAUGUUUGAACUAAAUAAAUUGUGGUGGAAAAUAUAAUUUGUUCAUAGUUUAGUCAUUUGCAAAUAUGAACUAAAUAAAUUGUGAUAUAUAGAGAUGGUUGUUGCUGCUAGAGGUAGUGGCGAUGGUGGGGACUUUUCAAAAGAAGAAGAAAAGUGGAUCAAGUAUUCCAUAGUUCAAAAUACAAUCCAACCAAUCGAUUGCCCCGCUUCAGGUGUUUUCGGAGUUUGAUAAGAACAUGCUUCCAUUCACCAAAGAUACAGAUCUUACCGCAACUCAACUUCGAGGGGAGGAUCACAUCCCAAAGUAUCCUGGGGCUGGUAAUUGAAAAUUUGAGUUAGGGAAACAGCUUGUGUGGCCGCAGUUGGUAGACCAUCUUCCAACAAAAAUGUACAAAUUGCACCAAUAGUACAUGGAGGUUUCAGCCACCAGUUUACUCCUGCUAGAAGUUCGGAUUGGAGAUCAGCAUUAUUUCCGUGGUGAUGCCAUUAUAAAUGUGCCACUUGAGGAACUUUAUUUCCUUUACAAUCAAGACACACUUGACAAAUCACUCAUCAGUUCCUGGGUUAUGAUGAAGAUUUCAAGCUUGCCGGAGGAUAGAAUUGUAUGAUGUUGGCUUCAUGGAUCCGAAUGUUAUAAACGAGGCAAAUGUAAGAGAUAAACCAAAUCGGACCUUAAAGAAUAUCUAUAAUUUCUUGGACAAACAACGUUACAAGAAGUACAUACUUCUGCCGUACAACUUCAAACACUUGUUAUCGUGGUUGAUCGAAGCAUGAUCUAUAUCCUAGACUCUGUGAGGAGAUCAAGAAAUCAAUACACCAACCUCAUAAACGUGCUUAACAGAGCAUGUGCUCGCUUCCAUCAACAUCACUCAGGUGAAUACAAGGAGCAACUUCAUAUCCAUUCUGAAUUCCCGAAUCCGGGAAAUAAUUUAUACGGAUACUACGUAUGUGAGUUCAUCCAUGGCUUUUUACGUCCUAAGCGUAUAACUGACCAUAAAUUCAGAAUUAUGCACAUGAAGGAAAAACUCCUCGAGAUGGAAAAAUCAGGGCAAUUCAAG